rnacentral:rRNA from 1 species
AUUAAACGCUGGCGGCAUGCCUUACACAUGCAAGUCGAACGGCAGCAUGAUCUAGCUUGCUAGAUUGAUGGCGAGUGGCGAACGGGUGAGUAAUACAUCGGAACGUGCCCUGUAGUGGGGGAUAACUAGUCGAAAGAUUAGCUAAUACCGCAUACGACCUGAGGGUGAAAGUGGGGGACCGCAAGGCCUCAUGCUAUAGGAGCGGCCGAUGUCUGAUUAGCUAGUUGGUGGGGUAAAGGCCCACCAAGGCGACGAUCAGUAGCUGGUCUGAGAGGACGAUCAGCCACACUGGGACUGAGACACGGCCCAGACUCCUACGGGAGGCAGCAGUGGGGAAUUUUGGACAAUGGGGGCAACCCUGAUCCAGCAAUGCCGCGUGUGUGAAGAAGGCCUUCGGGUUGUAAAGCACUUUUGUCCGGAAAGAAAUCGCACUUACUAAUAUUAGGUGUGGAUGACGGUACCGGAAGAAUAAGGACCGGCUAACUACGUG